rnacentral:rRNA from 1 species
AACUCGUGACGGAGGAUAUCUUGGCUCCCACAUCGAUGAAGAACGGUAGCGAAAUGCGAUACGUAGUGUGAAUUGCAGAACACGUGAAUCAUCGAAUCUUUGAACGCAAGUGGUGCUCGCGGGCAAUCCUGCGAGCAUGUCUGUUUGAGUGUC